UACGUAGGGGGCGAGCGUUGUCCGGAUUUAUUGGGCGUAAAGAGCGUGUAGGCGGCCAGGUAGGUCUGCUGUGAAAACUCGAGGCUCAACCUCGAGACGUCGGCGGAAACCAUCUGGCUAGAGUCCGGAAGAGGAGAGUGGAAUUCCGUGGUGUAGCGGUGUAAAUGCGCAGAUAUCAGGAGGAACACCGGUGGCGAAGGCGGGUCUCUGGGCCGAGUACUGACGCUGAGACGCGAAAGCUAGGGGAGCAAACGGG
rnacentral:rRNA from 1 species